rnacentral:rRNA from 1 species
UAGGGAAUCUUCCACAAUGGACGAAAGUCUGAUGGAGCAACGCCGCGUGAGUGAAGAAGGUUUUCGGAUCGUAAAGCUCUGUUGUUGGUGAAGAAGGAUAGAGGCGGUAACUGGUCUUUAUUUGACGGUAAUCAACCAGAAAGUCACGGCUAACUACGUGCCUG